rnacentral:rRNA from 1 species
ACAAGCGGUGGAGUAUGUGGUUUAAUUCGAUGCAACGCGAAGAACCUUACCUGGUCUUGACAUCCCGGAGACCCUUAGGAAACUAGGGGGUGCUUCCAUCUGGAAGAAUCUGGAGGCAGGUGCUGCAUGGCUGUCGUCAGCUCGUGUCGUGAGAUGUUGGGUUAAGUCCCGCAACGAGCGCAACCCUUGCCUUUAGUUGCCAGCAGUUCGGCUGGGCACUCUAAAGGGACUGCCGGUGUUAAACCGGAGGAAGGUGGGGAUGACGUCAAGUCCUCAUGGCCUUUAUGACCAGGGCUACACACGUACUACAAUGGCCGAUACAAAGGGCAGCGACACUGCGAGGUGAAGCCAAUCCCGUAAAAUCGGUCUCAGUCCGGAUUGGAGUCUGCAACUCGACUCCAUGAAGUUGGAAUCGCUAGUAAUCGUGGAUCAGCAUGCCACGGUGAAUACGUUCCCGGGCCUU